AUGAAGGUGAAGCACUGUGAUGCUUUCGACUACUGGGGUAGCGGAACUAAAGUCACCGUUUCUUCAGGCAUUGCACCAAGUUUAUUUCCUGUGGUUCAGUGUAGCCCUGCACUUGGAGACAAGCUGACCGUUGGCUGUCUUGUACAUAAUUUCAACCCGAUGAGUGCAAUUACGUGGACUGAUGCGGCAGGAACGGCACUGCCAACUUCAGUCCAAUAUCCUCCAGUUACAGGAAACAACAUGCAUGUUGGAUUUAGUUCCAUUGAAGUAAAAAAAUCUGACUGGGAUUCUUGGAAGUCUUUUACGUGUCUUGUGGAUAAUCAAAGUAUAAAAGUGGAAAACAAACCAUCACCUCCAAAAGUUAGUUUGCUGAAAGAACCAAGAGGAACCAGCCAGGUCCUCUUUUGUACCGCGGAGGACUUCCUCCCAAUAAACAUCUCAGUGAAAUGGAAAAAGAAUGGACAAGAUAUAUCUGCUAAAGACUGGGACCCAAAAUUGAAUGGAGGGACAUAUUCAACCGUCAGUCUUCUUGAGGUUUCAAAUACAGACUGGAACAGUGGGGCUGUUUACUCUUGCGAGGUGUCACACAUGCAAAAUCUCUACAUCAAGAAAGCAUCCAAAGCUGUUGUCACAGUGAACCUAAAACAACCAAGUCCGAAGGAAAUCUUCAUCAACAAACAGGCAAAGUUGGAGUGUGUUGUUGCUGGACAAGACAGAGAAAUUAUACAGAAGACUCAGAUCAGAUGGGAGAUUGAGGGACCAAACCAGAGAAACAGUACCACAGAAGAAAUUAAGUCUGAAGGUGCCAUACACAAAAAAACAAGCACACUAACUCAAAGUUUCUCUGACUGGCUGACUGUUGAGAAAGUGAGGUGUUCUGCAGAAGGAGAGCAUGUGUCACCAGUUACCGAAGAGAUAAUUGUUCAAAAAGGAGAUGGAAAAGAGCCAACGGUGACUCUCCACAUCCUCCCUGACGAGUUUAUUGUGGAUAAAGUCACUCUCAUAUGUUUGGUUUCCAGUUCCGUGAAGCAGGAUUUCUACAUCGCCUGGUCAGAAUAUGUUGGGCAAAACAAUGGAGUCUACACUGAUGGGGUAACAUUUCUCCCACAGAAGCAUGAUGAUCAUUACAGAGUUACAAGUCUGUACACCACCACCAAGAAAAAGUGGGAGAGUAAAUACACGUUUGUGUGCAACGUCUGGCCUGCUGGUAGAAGCGAUAAGAUUAAUCCCACACAAGUGUCUAAUGCCGGAGAUUUUUCAAAUAUGACAGUCUCUUGCAUUUUGGAAGCUGAAGAUGACUAUAGCAGCUUGUGGUCAGCAACCUCCUUCUUCAUAUUCCUCUUCAUAUUCUCUCUCUCCUAUAAUGUGAUUUUCAGCUUACAUCAGAUGAAGAAACUGAAGAACCUCAUGGCAAAUGCCUCUCCAUCUCUGUUUCCACUAACUCCAUGUGAUCCUGGGAGUGGAGAUACGGUCACUCUUGGCUGUCUGGCCCAGGACUUCUUUCCCAAAAGUGCUACAUUCCAGUGGACCAGUACCAGUAACAGUAACACUCAAGUGGAUUCUCAACAGUUUAUUUUUCCUCAAACAAAUGUCAACAAAUUCACUGGAGUCAGUGUGAUCAGUGUGCCAAGAUCAAAGGCUUUGUCCUACAAUUGUUCUCUGACUCAUCCGGCAGGAAACAAAAAUGUGCCAGUGAAAUAUGCUUUCUCUCCUCCCAGUGUAACGUUGCUCUCAGAGUCAGACGGAGAGAAACAGGUCUUGGUCUGUUCCAUUGAAAACUUUGCCCCCAAAAAAGUGUCAAUCAGUUGGAAGAAAAACAACAACAAUGUGGAUAACGUCAAAAGUUUUGAACCCAUGAAAGAUGGAGAUGUUUAUUCUGCUGCCAGCAUCUUCAAAGUCAACAAAACAGAAUGGGACAGUAAGGCUGUUUACACCUGUGACGUGACUCACGCAGGACAAAAUUACAUAAAAAAGGCCUCAAAAGCAUCUUUAACAGUGACACUGAACCCUCCGAAUCCUAAAGCAAUGUUUGUCAAUAAACGAGCAGAGCUAAAAUGUGUAGUUACUGGACCGGAUAGCAGCAUCGUAUCUAAAACUAAAAUCCAGUGGUACAUUGAUGAACAGCCAGUGACCAAUAAUAUCAGCGAAAGCAAUGAUGCACAAACAAAAACCAGCACAUUGAUUCAACACUUUGAUGAUUGGAAGAAAGUUAAAACAGUGAAGUGUUCUGCCACCAGAGAAGGCAUGGCACCAAUUACCAAGAGUCUUAAUGUCAACAGAGGUAAGGAAAUGCCCACCAUUGAAGUCCUCACCCCUUCAACCAUCACAGGUGAUUCUGUCACUCUGGUGUGUCUGGUAACCAGUACAGAGCUGCAAGAUUACUACAUCGUUUGGUCAGAAGCUUCUGGACAUGAUAUUGGAACAUACCAUGAUGGCCUCAACUUGCCCCCACAGAAGAUCAACAGUGUUUACCUAGUUUCAAGCUUUUACACCAUCAGCAAGGAUAAAUGGAGCAAAAACAAGUUCAGCUGCAAUGUUUGGCCUGCUGGCAGCGAUGAAAAAAUGAAACCUCAUGAUGUGUCGAGUUUCUCGGACUCAAAUGUGACAAUUGCCUUAAGUUGCAUAGAUAAUCUCUCUGAAGGAGAUGACUUCAACGGCUUGUGGUCCACCACCUCUUCCUUCGUCUUCCUCUUCAUCUUCUCUCUCACCUAUAACAUGAUUUUCAUCCUGGUUCAGGUAAACAUGAAGAGGUUUUCUCUACAUUUACUUCAUUAUGAGUAAAAUGGAUCCAUACUCAC